rnacentral:rRNA from 1 species
AUUGAACGCUGGCGGCAGGCCUAACACAUGCAAGUCGAACGAGUGGCGGACGGGUGAGUAAUGUCUGGGAAACUGCCUGAUGGAGGGGGAUAACUACUGGAAACGGUAGCUAAUACCGCAUACCAUCGGAUGUGCCCAGAUGGGAUUAGCUAGUAGGUGGGGUAAAGGCUCACCUAGGCGACGAUCCCUAUCUGGUCUGAGAGGAUUACCAGCCACACUGGAACGUAGACAUGGUCCAGACUCCUACGAGAGGCAGAAGUGGGGAAUAUUGCACAAUGGGCGCAAGCCUGAUGCAGCCAUGCCUCGUGUAUGAAGAAGGCCUUCGGGUUUUAAAGUACUUGCAGCGGGGAGGCGUUACCCGCAGAAGAAGCACCGGCUAACUCCGUGGCAGCAGCCGCGGUAAUUC